rnacentral:rRNA from 1 species
CCUACGGGGGGCUGCAGUGGGGAAUCUUCCGCAAUGGACGAAAGUCUGACGGAGCAACGCCGCGUGAGUGAAGAAGGUUUUCGGAUCGUAAAGCUCUGUUGUUUGAGACGAAUGUGCAGACUUUGAAUAAGGGUUUGUAAUGACGGUAUUAAACGAGAAAGCCACGGCUAACUACGUGCCAGCAGCCGCGGUAAUACGUAGGUGGCAAGCGUUGUCCGGAAUUAUUGGGCGUAAAGGGAGCGCAGGUGGGAAUGUAAGUCAGUCUUAAAAGUGCGGGGCUCAACCCCGUGAGGGGAUUGAAACUACAUUUCUUGAGUGCAGGAGAGGAAAGUGGAAUUCCUAGUGUAGCGGUGAAAUGCGUAGAGAUUAGGAGGAACACCAGUGGCGAAGGCGACUUUCUGGACUGUAACUGACACUGAGGCUCGAAAGCCAGGGGAGCGAACGGGAUUAGAUACCCCGGUAGUC